CCUGGAGCCUGGAGCCUGGAGCCUGGAGCCUGGAGCCUGGAGCCUGGAGCCUGGAGCCUGGAGCAGGAAGGGCUUCCGGAGCUGCUGGGGCACAGAGGUUACUUAGCAAGGCUCGGGUCGAGUGACCACCCUCAGAGAACAGAGAGAGUCCAUGGAAGUUUUGACUCAGCAUAGUGGGGAGACGACUUACUAGAGACGGUGGAUGACCUGUGGCGUGGAGAAGAGCAGGCAUCGUCGGGCAGAGCGGCGGAGGGAACGAUCCCGGCGAGGCUGAGCGGUUGCCCCAGCGGGCCGCUCUGGGAGCUGCAGCUCUGGCGUGGGCUCCUGGCUCCUCUCUCCUCCAGUUCAUUCGGACCUCGCCCAGGAGAAAGAAGAGAUGACCAAUUCCCAGGAACCUGUUACAUUCAAGGAUGUGGCCAUGGACUUCACUGAGGAGGAGUUGGGGCAACUGGACCCUGCACAAAGGGCCUGUACAAAGAGGUGAUGCUGGAGAUCUAUGGCAACCUGGUGUUAGUGGGUGAGGACAACUACUCUUUGGAGAAUUUUUGUUUCCUUGGUUGUUAAAAGCUUUGGGCUCUAAAAGUGUUAUUAACUAAGGAAAGGCUUGAGAUUCAAAUCUCAGAGGGUCUAAGUUGCUAUUGAAGAAAGAAAAUGUUGCUACCUAAAUAAAAACCUGUUUUCCCUCCCCUAUUUGUAUUUCUUUCUUUUCUUUUGAGAUGAAAUUCACAUAACAUAAAAUUAACCAUUUUAACUUGUACAGUUCAGUGGCAUUAAGUACAUCCAAGUGUUGUGUAAUUACCUCCUUUAUAAGUUCCAAAACACUUUCAUCACCCCAAAAGAAGAUAUUGUGAUUUUGGUUCCAGACCACUGUAACAACGGGAGUAUCACAAUAAAGUGAGUCGUAAUCUUUUUGCUGGUGGAGGGUGUUGCCUUCAGCUUGUAAGAAGUACAGCACCUGUUAAGUGCAAUAAAGUGCAGGGCAAUAAGGUGAGGUAUGCCUGUGUUUAUUUUG